rnacentral:rRNA from 1 species
AGAGUUUGAUCAUGGCUCAGAACGAACGCUGGCGGCGUGGAUAAGACAUGCAAGUCGAGCGGGAUUUUUUCUUGUAGCAAUACAGGGAAAAGUCUAGCGGCGAACGGGUGCUUAACACGUGGGCAACCUGCCAAGAAGUGGGGGAUAGCUCGCCGAAAGGCGAAUUAAUACCGCAUGUGAUCAGAAUGGACAUCCAUUCAAAAUCAAAGUCGGGGCAACCUGACGCUUCUUGAGGGGCCCGCGGCCUAUCAGCUAGUUGGUGGGGUAACGGCCCACCAAGGCUUAGACGGGUAGCUGGUCUGAGAGGACGACCAGCCACACUGGGACUGAGACACGGCCCAGACACCUACGGGUGGCAGCAGUCGAGAAUUUUUCUCAAUGGGGGAAACCCUGAAGGAGCGACGCCGCGUGGAGGAUGAAGGUCUUCGGAUUGUAAACUCCUGUCAUUGGGGAACAAUGCGCAAAUAUUAACUGUAUUUGCGUUGAUAGUACCCGAAGAGGAAGAGACGGCUAACUCUGUGCCAGCAGCCGCGGUAAUACAGAGGUCUCAAGCGUUGUUCGGAUUCAUUGGGCGUAAAGGGUGCGUAGGCGGCGCGGUAAGUCGGGUGUGAAAUCUCGGAGCUUAACUCCGAAACUGCAUUCGAUACUGCCGUGCUUGAGGACCGGAGAGGAGACUGGAAUUUACGGUGUAGCGGUGAAAUGCGUAGAUAUCGUAAGGAAGACCAGUGGCGAAGGCGGGUCUCUGGACAGUUCCUGACGCUGAGGCACGAAGGCCAGGGGAGCAAACGGGAUUAGAUACCCCCGUAGUCC